AUUGAUGUCUAUGAUGGGAAGGAGAGGAAACAGAACAGUUACUCCAUAGUAUCCUUUUGUCAGGAAAAAAGCAAACAUGGGAUAUAAUUGCCUACUGGAGCUUUAUGUUCAUUUUCUAGUGUCUACUGGGACAUAGAUUCCUGCUUGCAGCACCAGUCUAACCUCAGAAAAGUCCUUUGACGUUUCUGCUGUGUGGAACUAACAAAGAUCAAAACCUGACCCCUGUGGCUACUCGAGCUUUCCAGGGCAAGGACACAUUCCUUCCUACACAGACACACUUCCUCUCCUCUGAUGUGCUCCAGUUUUGUCCCCCACUAGAUUCUUCAACUGAUGCCAAUGUUAAACCCUUCCCAGCUCUAUUGCUGCUGUGAGACUUCUAUUCCAUAGCUGUUAUUAAAAAAGUGUCCUCCUACCUGUAAUUAUUAUUAAAUUACAGGGAAGCGCAAACAUCACCUCAGGGCUUGGAGGUGGAUUAUUAAUUGACAAGGUUUUUGGCUGGCACACUUUCAUCUAAAGCAGAAGCCUGAGCCACACAAACACAAGGGAAGGCUCUCCCAAAGGGCAUUUUGCCCACUCGGCUGAACCAAGAGGUUUCAGCUCUAGCUGAAUAACUUUAAAUUUCUUUCGUUUUCAGUGGGAUUCCUGCCUUCUCCAAAUGUGCUACAGAUCCAGGUGAAUUUUCCACCUGCUUGGCUCUUGCACUUCCCAUGAGGACCACAAACAUUGGAAGAGAUGUAGCGAACCCCUUCGGGUGUGCUGUUGGAAGCCACCGCCACUGUGCAGCUGUCAAUUACUGCAGAAAAGCAGAGACCAGCAUGAGAAUUACCCAUGCAACCCAGUUCCUCAAGAACAACAUUUUCACUUCCAGCCAUGGAUGUUUAGAAGACACUUGUGCCAUUGAAUCAUUUAGGUUGGAAAAGACCUUUAAAAUCAUCAAGCAAAACCAUAAACAUAUGACUACAAAUAUGUUUGCUGCUUUAAAAUAACAUUGGACUCUGCCAACUGCGCAUAAAAUAAUCACAGCAUCUUAUCUGAUGGUUACUGGAACACAGCCAUAGCCUGGAAUAAAAGCAUCAGGCCAUUUGCUACCUGUGCUUUCUG